GAUGAACGCUGGCGGCGUGCCUAACACAUGCAAGUCGAGCGAACGGACGAUAAGCUUGUGUCUCUGAUGUUAGCGGCGGACGGGUGAGUAACACGUGGAUCACCUACUUAUAAGACUGGGAUAACUUCGGGAAACCGGAUCUAAUACCGGAUGAUAUUUUGAACCGCAUGGUUCAAAAGUGAAAGACGGUCUUGCUGUCUCUUAUAGAUGGUUCCGCGCUGCAUUAGCUAGUUGGUAAGGUAACGGCUUACCAAGGCAACGAUGCAUAGCCGAGCUGAGAGGGUGAUCGGCCACACUGGAACUGAGACACGGUCCAGACUCCUACGGGAGGCAGCAGUAGGGAAUCUUCCGCAAUGGGCGAAAGCCUGACGGAGCAACGCCGCGUGAGUGAUGAAGGUCUUCGGAUCGUAAAGCUCUGUUAUUAGGGAAGAACAUAUGUGUAAGUAACUGUGCACAUCUUGACGGUACCUAAUCAGAAAGCCCCGGCUAACUACGUG
rnacentral:rRNA from 1 species